rnacentral:rRNA from 1 species
AGGACAAACGCUGGCGGCGUGUAUUAGGCAUGCAAGUCGCACGGCACCUUCGGGUGCAGUGGCGGACGGGUGAGUAACACGUGGGUAACCUGCCUCGUAGUGGGGAAUAACUCGCCGAAAGGCGAGCUAAUACCGCAUAUGACUCUCGGUGAGAAUCCGAGAAGUAAAAGUCGUAAGGCGCUACGAGAGGGGCCCGCGGCCGAUUAGCUUGUUGGUGGGGUAACGCCUACCAAGGCGACGAUCGGUAGC